CAUUCCAGUUACAAACCUCGGCCAUCUUCAUCCAAUAAGCUUGGAUAGUAUAUCAACAUAUAGUGACCAACAUUAACAUACAAUGUAAAUGGUUAAUGAUGCAAUCAUGAUGAAAUGAAGUUUUAAAUCACAUAUAAGAGAAACUUUUAUACCUUGCAAAGUAUACAUGAAGUUCGUCGACGUCGGAUGGAUCAAAUUUGUAUUUUGCGACACACGUUGUGUGAGAGAGAAUGGCAUUGGUGUGGGGCUGGAAAACUAUGAAAUGGAGAGUGGCAUUGGUGUGAACUUGGGAUAUUAUUUCCGGAGAGGUGGUUGGACAUUGAUUCCUCCAUCAAUCAUAUUACUUUGGCUUGUUGUCGAUCUUUCAUGAGUGCUGGAUGUCUAACUGGGCUGCAUGUACGUAAAAGGCAACUGUAAUUUGUAACAUUGAAACAUUCACACAUUCAAAAAUACUUUGUCCGACAUACCUUCGAUUUCUUCAAUGUAGCAAUGGGCUUUUUCUUCUAAAUUUCCUUGGCACUCCCUUUCUUCGAGUGAACUUCGGAUCCAAUACAUUGGCGCUCGCAGUAUUUGAUAAAUCAGUGCAUUGAGUGUCAACCCAAGAAGUAUUUAAGGUUAGGAGAUUACUUCAUGUACUCGAUUUUGUGGUCACAAGCUCUUUACAUUAAAAUUUUAUCCACUCCAUGAUCGCACGUGAAUGCAUUUCAUCAUCUGCUACAAGGUUUGCCACCUCUGCCAAACCUUUAGACAUCUGUUCAUAUCUCAAUUGUGCAGGAGUACUAACUAACCCAUCAUAAUUUACCACAACCUUCGUGUGUGCUCUUCGAACAUCUCUCCUCCGCCUUCGCAGUAUGUACCUCUUCGGAAUAUGUGUGACGUCAUUCCAUACUAGCACUGUGAUCGCAUGUCUACAAAGUAUUUUUCAAAACUCAAACAAGUGGCAGGUGUAAACAACAUCACAUUUAUCUCUCGUGAAUGACAUGGUAAAUGUCUUUUUCCUCCUAGAACCCUUCUACAUAACUGUCUUUCUUACUUCGUAGGUCGCACCAAUACAUCUGUCCAAAGUAGAUAGCACAUCUUAGUACACCUUUCCCGUGAACUCUUCUUGAACUUCACGAAAUUUCAAAAUUGUGUAAACUGAUUGAAACUAUUGCUCAAUUUCAAAUUGUGUUGCACAUGACACCAUUUGCGAGAACGACUUGAAUCGGCUUCGACUUCCUUCUCAACCUUAUUUCGAAGGGCGCUUUCGUACUGUUUUACAAACUACUUUAAUGAGGAUUUAGAAUGAACAUAGCCAUCAAAAAAUGCAUUCAUACUCUCGCUUCUCUGUAUCGUUGACAUCCCAGCCCAAAAUGUGGUUUUCAGGAAGCAAGGAACCCAACGUCCUCUGUUCUCAUACAAUCAUUAUCAUGCAAGUCAUACAUAUCAAUUAUCGUUCUCCAACCGUUUUCAAAUUCUUCAUUGGAUUGUGAAUCAUACACUGAUCUGUAUAUAGCCCCAAAUAUCAAAUGCUUAUUCACUUGGUAGCUAAAUUUCUUCGAUAAUUUCUUCAAAAUGUGCCACAAACAUCAUCUAUGCUUGGUAUUUGGAAAGACAAUUUGGGCUGCAUUUUGCAUUGCCCUGUCUUGAUCGGUAAUUAUAUCAUGUGGAGCUUGAUCAUGCAUACAUUGAAGCCAUGUUUUGAACAACUAUACAAAAAUAUCUGUG
rnacentral:lncRNA from 1 species